GACGAACGCUGGCGGCGUGCUUAACACAUGCAAGUCGAACGGUGACGAGGAGCUUGCUCCUCUGAUCAGUGGCGAACGGGUGAGUAACACGUGAGUAACCUGCCCCAGACUCUGGAAUAACAGUUGGAAACAGCUGCUAAUACCGGAUACGAGACGGAGAGGCAUCUCUACCGUCUGGAAAGUUUUUCGGCUGGGAUGGACUCGCGGCCUAUCAGCUUGUGGUGAGGUAAUGGCUCACCAAGGCGACGACGGGUAGCCGGCCUGAGAGGGCGACCGGCCACACUGGGACUGAGACACGGCCCAGACUCCUACGGGAGGCAGCAGUGGGGAAUAUUGCACAAUGGGCGAAAGCCUGAUGCAGCAACGCCGCGUGAGGGAUGACGGCCUUCGGUUGUAACCUCUUCAGUAGGAAGAAGCGAAAGUGACGGUACCUACACGAAGAAGACGACCGCUAACUAACGUGCCAGCAGCCGCGUAACG
rnacentral:rRNA from 1 species